UCUAACACCUGAACAAUUUUUUACUUUCAUGAGAAAAAAUUUCAAACUUUAUGUCAACAGUUUCAGGUUGGUAGUAGAAUUAGCUUCUGAAAAGUGUUUACUUCCUUCUUUUGGUAUCUAUUUUUCCUUCCUUUUGGUUUUGUGUUUGUUUUAUGUUCAUGUUCAUAUUAAUUUUUUUAUUUUAAUCAGUGGGAUGCAAGUGGAGUACUUGAGUUGGAAUUUGGAGUACAGCUUCCGUUAUUAAGACCUUUAGGCUUAAAGCUUUCUGGUAUAAUAGUGUGCGCAAGCUUGAAGUUAUAUGAUUGAUACUAUGGUUGGCACUUGGCAGAUAUGGGUUUCAGUCAGAUGAUCAGUUUAUUUGCAUUGACGAGAUUACCAAAGGAAUCAAGUCUUUUCAGUGUCAGGCAAUUGCAUCAAUCUGUUACCCUGAUAUAGUUUUAUGAAUGUCUGUUUUUUCCUGCUGCCUUUCUUCCCCAUCUUCGUGCAAGUAUAUUCAACUCAUUUCUAUAUCUGAUGUUAAGAUAAAUAGUCCAACAGUAUUUAGCUGAGUAUACAUCUUCCCAAGAUGCAUCUUCCUCUGCGGAACUUCAAAAAGGUUCUUUUGGAACUCCAGUAGGCAUAAAAUGAAAGAAAAAUAGUUGCAUUUAUCAUGUCUUUUUGUUUUUAUAUAAAUGCGAUCCACUGCAUGGCAUUUUCAUUAAUCUGAUACCCUAGCACUCAAUUUUAUAAGAUUUCGCGUUUAGAGCAGCUCUAAUUAGCAGGAUGAUAACAGCUAAAUUUUAAACCACAGACCAUGGUUGUGUUAAUAUUAUUAUUNUCUGUUCAUCAAGAUGAAACUGUGGAAAUCCUGUAUUGAGACAGAGACUCCAAGAACAGGAAAUGAAUCCUGUGCGAAUUUUAAUUUUAUACACAGUUUUGAAAAUAAUUGGGAGUCAAUGUCAUCCUUUUGUAUCUCUGGCUUCUAUUUUCGGGUAAAAUAUAUGACUAAAUUUGUCACUCCCUUUGUUUGGAAUGAAAUAUCUAGUAUAGAAACCGCUACAAGUGCUAACGCUGCUGAAUGUUACAUUCCCUGAUCCUGAAGAAGAUUCUCAUAUGUCUGGUUCAGGUUCACCCUUCCACAACAGGAUAGGUGUUGAGCCUUCAGCUCAAUAAGAACAACCAUACCUGCAGAGUGUGGUCGUGUGUGUGAUUAAGCUGGAGAGGGUGGUAUAGUUUUAUUAUUGAGUCUGUUAAAAUCUGGUUAAUUAGUUAAAUAACAGACCAUUAGUGAAACGGUGGGUUUUGUACCUUGAGCAAAGUUCACUGUUUUUAAGUCACUUAAGUUCAGUGUUGUUUAGCUUCUAAAUUCUUGUAUAUAAGACAGCUGUUGUCCUGGUUACCUUUUUCUUCUUUCUCUAAAAUCAUUUCAAUAGGCAUGAAAGAGCAAAGAUAAGCUAGGAGGCUUCCUUAUCACAGAAAGGUUGUUUCAGAUAACUCUCCAACCGCUAUUGAGGAGAGAGUCUUCCAUGCAACGAAUGUAUGGUACUAUUAACCAAUCAUGAGGUAAGUGCAUGUCACAUUUGCUGAUGUGGUGUUGUAUGAUUGGUUGAUUGUGUAUACAUAUGUUACAGAAUAGUUUUUUUUUUUUUUCUUGCCCUUAUUAUUCGGACACAACACUGUACAUGUUCGUAUUACUUUUGUCUCUGUAAAGAGUGUUUUCCCUCUAUUUGGCUGAGGUUUAACAUGGAGGACUUGAGCGUUUGUGCCGUCAUGUUGGGUGAGACUGUCCCAUUUAGUUUUUUCGGUAUUUCAUUAUCAAAUGGAAGAACAAAAUUAUAAUAUAAACAAAUAUCCUUUUCACAUUUCUCAAUAAAUCGGGGUCUAUAACAAAGUCUAUUAAUUAUUGUAACUCAAUCCAAUCGAGAGAGCCAGCGAUAAAUCGAGGGAGAGGCAAUACAAUGCUAUAUAUGACUCAUCCAUGGUCCUCCAUCAGGGACAUUUCACUUUUCCCUUCUUGACAUUACAUGUUAAAUUACAAAUCAGAAGUUGACGGAAGAAAGAUGGUGUGCGGCAGUGAAAUUUGACUUUUGACAGUUGACAAAUAUUUUGGGAGUUGGGUAAUUGAUGAAGGCCAAUCUUAUCGAUGAUCCAGAGGGCUGAAGAAUAGAGAUAAUUGAGACCUAGAGCGGAACAGAGUGUUUGAACUAAUGAGCAUUUUGCUUUUGAGAUAGCAUACAACCAGGUGGGCAAUGAUACUGAAUCAAAAGGCGGUACCGAAUCGAUCAAUUCAGAUAUUCAGACUGUAACUAUGUCGCCCCUAGCAAGAUAGUACUUUCUCUAUACAUGCAUGCUUUGGUAAGCAUGCAUAUACAUUUUUGUUCACCAGGUUUAGACCUUCUUCAUCUUGAGCUGUUUACUUUACCAAUGGCAUUGUUCCGAGACUAUCUUAUUGGAAAUUGUUUUAUGAGUGAAAACACAAGAAAGGUGAGUUUGUGUACAAAACAGAACUGAAACUCUGCAGAAAUCAGAGGAAGCAAAAGACGAGUCUAGAGUCUAUUUAUUUAUUAUUAUUAUUAUUAUUAUU